GGGGAUUUGGCUCAGUGGUAGAGCGCUUGCCUAGUAAGCGCGAGGCCCUGGGUUCGGUUCUCAGCUCCG
rnacentral:tRNA from 1 species